rnacentral:rRNA from 1 species
GACGAACGCUGGCGGCGUGCUUAACACAUGCAAGUCGAACGGAAAGGCCCUGCUUUUGUGGGGUGCUCGAGUGGCGAACGGGUGAGUAACACGUGAGUAACCUGCCCUUGACUUUGGGAUAACUUCAGGAAACUGGGGCUAAUACCGGAUAGGAGCUCCUGCUGCAUGGUGGGGGUUGGAAAGUUUCGGCGGUUGGGGAUGGACUCGCGGCUUAUCAGCUUGUUGGUGGGGUAGUGGCUUACCAAGGCUUUGACGGGUAGCCGGCCUGAGAGGGUGACCGGCCACAUUGGGACUGAGAUACGGCCCAGACUCCUACGGGAGGCAGCAGUGGGGAAUAUCGCACAAGGGGCGGAAGCCUGAUGCAGCAACGCCGCGUGCGGGAUGACGGCCUUCGGGUUGUAAACCGCUUUCGCCUGUGACGAAGCGUGAGUGACGGUAAUGGGAAAAGAAGCACCGGCUAACUACGU